rnacentral:lncRNA from 1 species
CAAAACCACAUUCCUGCUGCUGUCAGUUAUGAUGCACUGAGAAAACUUCAGAGACCUAAACUUUUUCCAGAGAAGAGAAGCUUUACUGGUGUUCCAGCCCUAAGAAACCUUUGUUCAACAAAACUGCAGAUGCUCUGUUGAAUCCACUGGAGAUUGUUCUGAUACUAAGGACAAGUAUCAAACAUCUUUCCUGUGAAAAAUUCCCUCUCCUAGUACUUUAGUUCUGUGGAUCCAAAAUUUAUAGCAUUCUUCUACCACCACAGGGGCUCAUAUGACAUUAACAGACAAGACACUUUUCAGAAAGACAGGUUGUUCUUUUGGGCCACAUCUAAGAAAUCUUUGUCUAGCCAAAAGCCACAAAUAAUUUCUCAUUUUUUGGCUUCUGGAAGAUGUACAGUUAAAUGUUAUAUUUGGGACUGUUAUCUAAUUUGGUUAAAUUGCACUCUACAAUAUGGUAUUUGAAUUGAUGAAAAAUUAGUAAAUGUUAAUAUUUUUUAAAGUAGCCAAAUCUUGCAAUUUAUAUAUAAUAGAGAAGACUAGAAAAUCCCCCAUAUUUAUUUCCUCUUACUUCGUACUACUAAAAUUUGUAUUUAGGCAUUUGGUUUCUCAGAUAAACAUUACAUUCCCCAGUAUAUGGUUCUAUCUGGCUUGGUGACGACAUGUUGAACAUUAAGAUGUGAGCAGAAGUAAUACAUACACACUCUUUUUCAUGUCUUUAAUUGAAUGGGAUAUUGGCCCAUUUUUUCUUCCAGUUUAUUACACUGAAUAUUGACAUGUUAUUUUCCAAUAUUGAGACAAUCAAUGACAAGACUUUAAGAGUAACAAUGUAAAAAUACAGAAGUUGUCUGAGUUUAUCAACAAUCCCCUGGAUUAGAACCCCCUACCAGUUCUAGGUCAUCUAAUAUAUAGACAUUGUGUUCAGUAGAAAUAAAUAUAUAUAUUUUUUAUUAUGCUUUAAGUUCUAGGAUACAUGUGCACAACAUGCAGUUUUGUUACAUUGGUAUACACGUGCCAUGUUGGUUUGCUGCACCCAUUAACUCAUCAUUUACAUUAGGUAUUUCUCCUAAUGCUAUCCCUCCCCCUGCCCCCACCCCCGACAGGCCCUGGGGUGUGAUUUUCCCCACCCUGUGUCCAAGUGUUCUCAUUGCUCAAUUCCCACCUAUGGGAAUACAUUUUUAAAUCAUUUUUAAAGGUGUUAUUACAUUCUGAUUGAACAUUUUCAGAAAGAAUAAAUAAUUUAAUACAAGAAGUGGGCCACUUCAUGUAACAAAACAAACCACCACUACAGCAACAACAACAAAAAACACUAAUGAAUGUGACUUUAGCUUUGCAACAUCGUGACAGACUAGCAAGUUAAUGACAUUUGUUAUGCCAUAGAAAAUAUUUGUUGAAUUGCCACUCUAAUGACUUUAUAUCAGCCAACUCAUUAUCAACACUAGAAAAGAUGAUUAAAAAAUACUUCAGUACGUUCACGUGUUGGCUUGUUAACAUUUUUAAGAGUCUAUAAGAGAAAAAUGCAUCCAAUCUUGACAAAAAUAUUUUUCAAGUAUCUUGUAGGUACGUACAACUAACUACCUUGUGAACAAAAGUCACUAUAUAAUUAUAUAAUUUCUGACACUUAAAAAAGUUUAUUGUGCUAAAGAAGAUAUAUGUUCUAAUACCAAAUCCACAUAUAAAAUAAUUGACUUAAAUAAUUUAAGAUGCUCUUUUAUAUAUUUAUAUUAAAAACUUUACAGAGAAUAAAAAAAGCAUUAUACAGGCUACUUAUGGUUUUUGAUGUUUGGAUCUACAAUACAUGUAUCAAAGAUUGUGGAAAUAAAUCAAACAAUAUAUUCAAUUGGACUUAAUUGCAUUAUUACAUGCCAAGUGUCGUAUACCAUCUAUUUGCACAUAACACUUUUUAAUUUAGGUAAAAUUAUUAUCAUAAAGCUACAUGAAUUUAUUUUAUUCCAUGUUAUUAUUUAUGUAUUGUUAGGAACAUUUGCUUAAAAAUCAUAUUUGGACAUAGUUAGUAUCAGAUACUUUACAUCCUUUGAAUCAGUUAUUUUAUAACAGUAUAUACUAAACAUCAUUACUCCUUUUCAAACAUAAAUAACGCAAUACAAAUUGGACAAAAAAUUCAGGAAAGAUCUGGGAUCAAAAAGGAGGUAUUGAAACAUCACAUGUACUCCAUAAUUAUAUACAAAUAUUUUGUACCCAUAAUAUUUAAAAUACAGAAAAUUAAAAGGUGCAUUUUCCUCAAAGUGCAUGCUUCUUUUGCUAUGCAAAACUGCAAGAUAUGGAAAGAAGUGUAUUAAAACACUAAAUCACUUUAUGUGGAAGAUAAAAGGGAUGGUACCCAAUGUAAGACUUCAUGUAGUGCACUGAUACAUUCAAUACAAAUGAUGUAUUAACUUCAAGAUAACAUGAGAAAGUUAAAUUAUCUAACUUAUUUCAAACUAGGGGAUAGUAUGUUCUCAUUAUUAGAAGCCAGAAUUCUGCUUAUCCAUUUCUAUUAUUAGAAAAAAACAUAAUUUUUAUUCUUGUCUUAAAAAUAGACACCAUGAUAUCAUUCUCUGUAAAUGCAGCAUGAUAGUCUGUUUACAGAGUUUAUAUCAUUCCAAGACUGCACUUCUAAAGUGAGAAAAUAUUAAAGGAUAUAAACUCACUCCUCUCUACAAAAUUCCUUAUUUUUUAUGCAAUGGCUUUAAAAUGUAUGGAAGGGGAGUUAUGGAAACAAUCCAUACCUGGAAAGCAUUCUAUCCAUGCCUUUGAAAUGGUUAUCUAGUACUAGAUUCUUAUCAGUGCCUAGCUAUGUAAUGUGUGUAGCUUAAGAUUUUUAAGAAAGAAGGAUAAAAUGCUCAAUAUAAAUUUAAAAAGCACUUUUAUUGGAAUAUUGAAUCAUAUAUUUGCUUUCUGUAAGUCCUUUUAUCUAUAAAAUAAUAGUUGAGAAAGGCAAAUAGAAUAUGUGGAGGAAUUAAAAAUUCAGUUGUAGGGUGGUAAAUGAAAACCAAAUUUUUCAUUCACCACAUUAAAUGUAAAUGGGUAUUAUACUCAAUUUAAGCAGCAAAGUUGCUUUUUUUUUUUUUUUUUUUUUUGAGACAGAGACUCACACUGUCGCCCGGGCUGGAGUACAAUGUUGCCAUCUCGCUUCACUGCAACCCCUGCCUGCUGGGUUCAAGCCAUUCUCCUGCCGCAGCCUCCCGUGUAGCUUCUUAAGAUGUGAAGAUUUUUAAAUUAAGAUGACUCUUGGGAUGAACCAUCUUGUGUUGGUUAAAGACUUUUACUGACAUAUUUUUAAUAAUUUUUUUAACUUUUAUUUUCAGGUCAAUGGCACAUGCGUAGGUUUGUUAUGUAGGUAAACUAGUGUCACAGGGAUUUGUUGUGCAGAUUAUUUCACCACCCAGCUAUUAAGCCUAGUACCCAUUAAUUGUUUUUCCUGAUCUUCUGCUUCCUCCCACCAUCCACCCUCCCAGAGGCCCCAGUGUCUGUUGUUUCCCUCUAUGUGUUCAUGUGUUCUCAUAAUUUAGCUCCCAUUUGUAAAUGAGAACAUGCAGUAUUUGGUUUUCUGUUCCUGCAUUAGUUUGUUAAGGAUAAAGACCUCCAUCCAGCUCCAUCCAUGUUCCUGCAAAGGACUUGAUCUCACUCUCUUUUAUGGCUGCCUAACAUUCCAUGGUGUAUAUGAACCACAAAAUAAAGAUGGUUCUUAACUUUUAAAUUAAGAUUUUUAAAUUAAGAUGAAUCUUGAUUUUUAAAUUAGUAUGGUUUUAAGAUAGUUUUACAGAUAGAUUAGAUAAUCUAUCUAGAGAUAGACAGGGAGAGAUAUCUAUCAAUACAUAUCUCUAUCUAGAUAUAG